UACGAAGGGUGCAAACGUUGCUCGGAAUUAUUGGGCGUAAAGCGCACGUAGGCGGAUUUGUAAGUCAGGGGUGAAAUCCCGGGGCUCAACCUCGGAACUGCCUUUGAUACUGCAAAUCUCGAGUCCGAUAGAGGUGGGUGGAAUUCCUAGUGUAGAGGUGAAAUUCGUAGAUAUUAGGAAGAACACCGGUGGCGAAGGCGGCCCACUGGAUCGGUACUGACGCUGAGGUGCGAAAGCGUGGGGAGCAAACAGG
rnacentral:rRNA from 1 species